rnacentral:rRNA from 1 species
CGCUAGCGGCAGGCCUAAUACAUGCAAGUCUAACGGGAGCCAUUCCUUCGGGAGUGGUGAGAGUGGCGCACGGGUGAGUAACGCGUGGGAACCUGCCCUGUGGUAGGGGAUAACUGCGGGAAACUGCAGCUAAUACCCUAUGAGUCCUGUGGGAGAAAGAUUUAUCGCCAUAGGAGGGGCCCGCGUCGGAUUAGGUAGUUGGCGGGGUAACGGCCCACCAAGCCUGCGAUCCGUAGCUGGUCUGAGAGGAUGAUCAGCCACACUGGGACUGAGACACGGCCCAGACUCCUACGGGAGGCAGCAGUGGGGAAUAUUGGACAAUGGGCGAAAGCCUGAUCCAGCAAUGCCGCGUGAGUGAUGAAGGCCUUAGGGUCGUAAAGCUCUUUUACCAGGGAUGAUAAUGACAGUACCUGGAGAAUAAGCUCCGGCUAACUCCGUGCCAGCAGCCGCGGUAAUACGGAGGGAGCUAGCGUUGUUCGGAAUUACUGGGCGUAAAGCGUACGUAGGCGGUUAUUCAAGUCAGAGGUGAAAGCCCGGGGCUCAACCCCGGAACGGCCUUUGAAACUAGGUAGCUAGAAUCUUGGAGAGGUCAGUGGAAUUCCGAGUGUAGAGGUGAAAUUCGUAGAUAUUCGGAAGAACACCAGUGGCGAAGGCGACUGACUGGACAAGUAUUGACGCUGAGGUACGAAAGCGUGGGGAGCAAACAGGAUUAGAUACCCUGGUAGUCCACGCCGUAAACGAUGAUAACUAGCUGUCCGGGCACUUGGUGCCUGGUGGCGCAGCUAACGCAUUAAGUUAUCCGCCUGGGGAGUACGGUC